rnacentral:rRNA from 1 species
UACGUAGGGGGCAAGCGUUGUCCGGAUUUAUUGGGCGUAAAGAGCGUGUAGGCGGCUUUACAGGUCCGUUGUGAAAACUCGAGGCUCAACCUCGAGACGCCGGUGGAAACCGUAAAGCUAGAGUCCGGAAGAGGAGAGUGGAAUUCCUGGUGUAGCGGUGAAAAUGCGCAGAUAUCAGGAGGAACACCGGUGGCGAAGGCGGGUCUCGUGGGCAGUAACUGACGCUGAGGAGCGAAAGCGUGGGGAGCGAACAGG